rnacentral:rRNA from 1 species
GAUGAACGCUGGCGGCGUGCCUAAUACAUGCAAGUCGAGCGAACGGACGAGAAGCUUGCUUCUCUGAUGUUAGCGGCGGACGGGUGAGUAACACGUGGAUAACCUACCUAUAAGACUGGGAGAACUUCGGGAAACCGGAGCUAAUACCGGAUAAUAUUUUGAACCGCAUGGUUCAAAAGUGAAAGACGGUCUUGCUGUCACUUAUAGAUGGAUCCGCGCUGCAUUAGCUAGUUGGUAAGGUAACGGCUUACCAAGGCAACGAUGCAUAGCCGACCUGAGAGGGUGAUCGGCCACACUGGAACUGAGACACGGUCCAGACUCCUACGGGAGGCAGCAGUAGGGAAUAUUCCGCAAUGGGCGCAAGCCUGACGGAGCAACGCCGCGUGAGUGAUGAAGGUCUUCGGAUCGUAAAACUCUGUUAUUAGGGAAGAACAUAUGUGUAAGUAACUGUGCACAUCUUGACGGUACCUAAUCAGAAAGCCACGGCUAACUACGUG